rnacentral:rRNA from 1 species
CCGUGUACGUACAAGCAGUGGGAGCACAGGUUUACCUGUGUGACUGCGUACCUUUUGUAUAAUGGGUCAGCGACUUAUAUUCUGUAGCAAGGUUAACCGUAUAGGGGAGCCGUAGGGAAACCGAGUCUUAACCGGGCGUUAAGUUGCAGGGUAUAGACCCGAAACCCGGUGAUCUAGCCAUGGGCAGGUUGAAGGUUGGGUAACACUAACUGGAGGACCGAACCGACUAAUGUUGAAAAAUUAGCGGAUGACCUGUGGCUGGGGGUGAAAGGCCAAUCAAACCGGGAGAUAGCUGGUUCUCCCCGAAAGCUAUUUAGGUAGCGCCUCGUGAAUUCAUCUCCGGGGGUAGAGCACUGUUUCGGCUAGGGGGCCAUCCCGGCUUACCAACCCGAUGCAAACUGCGAAUACCGGAGAAUGUUAUCACGGGAGACACACGGCGGGUGCUAACGUCCGUCGUGAAGAGGGAAACAACCCAGACCGCCAGCUAAGGUCCCAAAGUCAUGGUUAAGUGGGAAACGAUGUGGGAAGGCCCAGACAGCCAGGAUGUUGGCUUAGAAGCAGCCAUCAUUUAAAGAAAGCGUAAUAGCUCACUGGUCGAGUCGGCCUGCGCGGAAGAUGUAACGGGGCUAAACCAUGCACCGAAGCUGCGGCAGCGAACGUAUCACCCAAGACAACUUUACGGAGUUGACGAUUGACGGAGCGAAGCGACGUCAAAGCGUUCAUUAAAGUCGAGUUGGCUUAGGGAUACGUUCGUUGGGUAGGGGAGCGUUCUGUAAGCCUGUGAAGGUGUGUCGUGAGGCAUGCUGGAGGUAUCAGAAGUGCGAAUGCUGACAUAAGUAACGAUAAAGCGGGUGAAAAGCCCGCUCGCCGGAAGACCAAGGGUUCCUGUCCAACGUUAAUCGGGGCAGGGUGAGUCGACCCCUAAGGCGAGGCCGAAAGGCGUAGUCGAUGGGAAACGGGUUAAUAUUCCCGUACUUGGUGUUACUGCGAAGGGGGGACGGAGAAGGCUAUGUUGGCCGGGCGACGGUUGUCCCGGUUUAAGCGUGUAGGUGUGUGUUCCAGGUAAAUCCGGUUCACUUUAACACUGAGGCGUGACGACGAGGCACUACGGUGCUGAAGCAACAAAUGCCCUGCUUCCAGGAAAAGCCUCUAAGCAUCAGGUAACAC